rnacentral:tRNA from 2 species
GCCCCGAUAUCCCAACGGCAGAGGAAAUGGUCUCAAACACCAUCUAGUGUGGGUUCGAAUCCCACUCGGGGCACCA